CACAAAUAUAUCAAAUCGGACCAUCACAAGUUUAACUGCCCGAGAUGGUUGUGACUUCUGGGACUUGACUGAGGAAAGAAAGCCCCGAAUGAGCCGUCUUUUUUUGCCUGUCCUUCUAAUCGGUGUUUCUCCUGUCCGCCUUUCUAUCGUCUAUCAGUCCGAAUCUUUUAUUGUCUUCUAUUGCGUUUUUUACCAUUUAUAUAUAUAUAUGUGUGUGUGUGUGUGUGUCUAUCUGUCAAUCUAUUUAUAGAUGUUUCUAUUUGU